UUUCAUCUAAUUACUGCAAAUUUUAUUUUUGACUGUGCCACGAGUAUCGGUGAGCUUUUUAUUUUUAUUCUGCUUUUCCCGAGACAUGCCCGAACGUUUGAAAAAGUGUUAAAAACCAAAACGAUUCGCGUAGAUCGUGUCGUAAUUGAUCUCGCACGUUGAGAAGUAGAUUGCUUUAUCAUCGCAUAAACACCGUGAGCGUUCUCGUGGUCGCGAGCGUACCUUGAUUCUAAACAUCGUUCUGUGUUCCGUAGUCCAUGAAGUGGUCAUAGACGUUGUGAUAACUCAUAUAGCUGCCGUGAUUCCACGCGUGAUCGGGCCUUAGGUUGAAUAUUAGCUCGUUGAGGUUAUGUGUAACAUUUAAAUAAGUUCAUGACAUAUGCCGAAAGUCUCUUUUGCGUUUUAUACCAAAAAGGUUUGUCUGACGAUCUGAAAGUUGCAAUAAUAGUCAGAGGUGUUACUGAUACUCGAAUGGGAAACUUAAAAUAACGGACUUAUUUGAAUUUUUGUUACUAUACCUAUGUCAAAUUGAAUUGCUUAAGGACUUUAUUUAUUUUAAAAUAUUUCUUUCGUAGAUACUGAAAUAGAUUACUUUGGACGUUUUGUUGAUAAUGGUCAGGAGCGGCCGAGCUCAAGAAAAAUGGAGUGGCUGGAGACAGCGUGCCUCAGAAUUGUUUACAGACAAUCAGCGGCGUCAAUACGACUACACCAA